rnacentral:lncRNA from 1 species
AGUACUUCAUAUUCCAGGUGUGGGUUCCUCUCUCCUGGGAUUUGCUGCAGCUGCAGAGCCCUGCCCUUUUCGCAGCCUUGGCCACUUGUGUGAGCCACUAGGGCCAUCCCAGCCUGAUGGACGGGAGGCGGUCCUCACCAGGAAUUCAAUUCAUUCCCUGCCCCCUUUCCUAGCCUAGGCAGAGAAACUAGUCACUGGCCAUUGCCCUGGGGGAAUCCCCUCACGCAGUGGCUUCCCAUCUUAGAACCCGGACUUACCUCCAGGCGGAGGUGAGGGGUGGGGAGUACUGUAAAUAGACUUGCUGCAGAGCAACUCAGGGUUGGGGUAUGUUUGAGUUCUCCUGAUCACUUGAAAACUAAUCUGUAGGCUGAAUGCUUCUGGAGUGUGGGGGAAAUGUGACUCCGGGGUCCUUUGUCCUCUGAGGCUCUGCGGGUGGAGGGUAGGACUUCAGAGGCCCUUUGAUAGCACGGCUGCGCUGUCUGCCCUUCUGGAAACCCAACCUGCCAUCAGCUGUAAAUCAGAUUCUUCACAUUCCAGGUGUAAGCUUUCCCUUCCCUGUGACUCUCAGUCCCUAGCUACAUGGUCAGGGGGACUCUGUUAAACCACCCAAAUUUAGGGAAUGAGAGGGGAGAGAGGAGGCCAUUAGGAGUCUGCCUUCAAGACUCAUUUCUUGAAAACAAAAUGGAAAAAAAAAAAGAUAACCACCUUCAAUCACAGGCAAAAACUAAACCAAGAAAAAAAAAAAAAAAGCAAACAAACCAAAAAACCCAACAGCAACCAUGUAACUGAAGGAAGGGUCUGGUUCCGCUCCAUCCCGUGUUCAUUGUGCCUUUACUUGUGUUAGAUCUCUGUGCUUUCUUCCUCCCCCUCUAUGACGUCAUUAAUUAAAGCCUUCCUUGAUAACCGCUGUUUCCUUUCUGCUCCUGUUUCUUACAGCUUGGUGGGUUUCUUCUCUGAUUGUCUUCCAUCUUACUCGCCUGGUGGCAGAGGGGCUUAGCGCACACACGCACCCUCUUUUUUUUUUUCUAACUUCUCCUUUCCCACAGUUUCCAGCCUGGAAGUUACAGUCAACACUGAGUAAGAGACCAGAGUGAUUGUGUGCAUGUGCGCGUGUGUGUGUCCAUCUGCAUGUGCGUCAGUUUCUUUGAAAAAUAAUUUAUUGUGUGAUUUCCUGUGGAGUUUUUGUUCAGGUUACAGUGCUGCUCCACAAUAGCACGGAUCCCUGUCCCCCUACCCCCGGCAUAAAAUGUAUUAUCUGGUCUC